rnacentral:rRNA from 1 species
UACGUAGGGUGCGAGCGUUGUCCGGAUUUAUUGGGCGUAAAGAGCUCGUAGGCGGUCUGUCGCGUCGGCUGUGAAAACCCGGAGCUCAACUCCGGGCCUGCAGUCGAUACGGGCAAACUAGAGUACUGCAGGGGAGACUGGAAUUCCUGGUGUAGCGGUGAAAUGCGCAGAUAUCAGGAGGAACACCGGUGGCGAAGGCGGGUCUCUGGGCAGUAACUGACGCUGAGGAGCGAAAGCGUGGGGAGCGAACAGG